rnacentral:rRNA from 1 species
GACGGAGGAUGCAAGUGUUAUCCGGAAUCACUGGGCGUAAAGCGUCUGUAGGUGGUUUAAUAAGUCAACUGUUAAAUCUUGAGGCUCAACCUCAAAAAUCGCAGUCGAAACUAUUAGGCUAGAGUAUAGUAGGGGUAAAGGGAAUUUCCAGUGGAGCGGUGAAAUGCGUAGAGAUCGGAAAGAACACCAACGGCGAAAGCACUCUGCUGGGCCGACACUGACACUGAGAGACGAAAGCUAGGGGGAGCGAAUGGG